rnacentral:rRNA from 1 species
GAUGAACGCUGGCGGCGUGCCUAAUACAUGCAAGUCGAGCGAACAGACGAGGAGCUUGCUCCUCUGACGUUAGCGGCGGACGGGUGAGUAACACGUGGAUAACCUACCUAUAAGACUGGGAUAACUUCGGGAAACCGGAGCUAAUACCGGAUAAUAUAUUGAACCGCAUGGUUCAAUAGUGAAAGACGGUUUUGCUGUCACUUAUAGAUGGAUCCGCGCCGCAUUAGCUAGUUGGUAAGGUAACGGCUUACCAAGGCAACGAUGCGUAGCCGACCCGAGAGCGUGAACGCACACACUGGAACUGAGACACGGUCCAGACUCCUACAGGAGGCAGCAGUAGGGAAUCUUCCGCAAUGGGCGAAAGCUGGACGGAGCAACGCCGCGUGAGUGAUGAAGGUCUUCGGAUCGUAGAAUUCUGUUAUUAUGAAAGAACAAAUGUGUAAGUAACUAUGCACGUCUUGACGGUACCUAAUCAGAAAGCCACGGCUAACUACGUG